rnacentral:rRNA from 1 species
UGGGGAAUAUUGGACAAUGGGCGCAAGCCUGAUCCAGCAAUGCCGCGUGAGUGAUGAAGGCCUUAGGGUUGUAAAGCUCUUUCGCACGCGACGAUGAUGACGGUAGCGUGAGAAGAAGCCCCGGCUAACUUCGUGCCAGCAGCCGCGGUAAUACGAAGGGGGCUAGCGUUGUUCGGAAUUACUGGGCGUAAAGGGCGCGUAGGCGGCCUGUUUAGUCAGAAGUGAAAGCCCCGGGCUCAACCUGGGAAUAGCUUUUGAUACUGGCAGGCUUGAGUUCCGGAGAGGAUGGUGGAAUUCCCAGUGUAGAGGUGAAAUUCGUAGAUAUUGGGAAGAACACCGGUGGCGAAGGCGGCCAUCUGGACGGACACUGACGCUGAGGCGCGAAAGCGUGGGGAGCAAACAAGAUUAGAUACCCUGGUAGUCCACGCCGUAAACGAUGAAUGCUAGACGUCGGGGUGCAUGCACUUCGGUGUCGCCGCUAACGCAUUAAGCAUUCCGCCUGGGGGAGUACGGCCGCAAGGUUAAAACUUAAAUGAAUUGACGGGGUC